UCUAUCACUAAGCUCAACAUGUCAAUGCUUCUCCGACGGCAGCGGCUUCAUGCGAGGCGUUCACAGUGUUCAUUAUCAAUGGCGCGAUCGUGGGAAGGAAUGGAGGGGUUUUAUUUAACCUACAAAAUCCUCCCAUAUUUUCCCAUCCAGCUAGCAGAGGCAGGAGCUACAGGGGAAGCAGGAGCACCGGGAGCAGAGGCAACAAACCAAGCGUUUAUUCAGAACCUCAAGAUUCUGAAGCAUCCGUUGAUUCAGAACCUCCAACUGAUGUCAUUUCGUGUACUGGUUUUCCAGCUCCAGAUCGAGGGGUUUAGAGAUCUUCAACAGUUUUCAAUGCCAUAGCCGGCCCAAGGGUCAAAUCAGGCUGUUGGAAGAAGUUCACACAAGAUGAUUGAAGCUACAAUGCAAUCAACUACAAAGGGAAAGAUCCAAACAAUUUUGCAAGCUUACUUUCCAAGCAUUCUUCAAAUUUUAGGGGUGACUGGAAGAGAAGAUUCUUUGUUCUCAAUGGCUGUGGAAUAUUGUAUUAUUACCUCAAACAAGACUGGGGCAAGCAAAUGAUAUAUUGGAAAGCAUCAACGAGUAUAUCGAUGAUGCUGAAAUGAUGGAUAAAAUGACUACCAAGAGCUGAUGUGAAUUGAAACACUGACCUGUUCACACUGAGGAUUAAAAUCAGACCAUGUAGGUGCCAACUCACAAACAUAAAUGUAUCGUUCAAAAUUUUGGUACAUUCUCUUUGUGUUGCUAGAGCUAGAUAGAUAUUGUAAGGUUUUAUCUAAGAAACAUACUUGUUUUAUUUUCAAGGCAACAAAAAGUUGUUCAAUACAAAAACACAAAAUGACUGGCAAUGGUCACGUUCUCAACCAUUAUUUAGACUUAAAACUCACUGCUAAACCAAAGGGUGUUUUGAGACCCAAGAUUCUGAAGGAUAAAAUUAAAACCAAAGGGUGUUUUGAGACCCAAGAUUUUGAAGGAUAAAAUUAUUUUUAAAGGGCGGUAGCUCAAUGGAAGAGUACCUGCUUUACAA